AUUGAACGCUGGCGGCAUGCUUUACACAUGCAAGUCGAACGGUAACAGGCCGCAAGGUGCUGACGAGUGGCGAACGGGUGCGUAAUGCAUCGGAACGUGCCCAGUCGUGGGGGAUAACUACUCGAAAGAGUAGCUAAUACCGCAUACGAUCUAUGGAUGAAAGCGGGGGACCGUAAGGCCUCGCGCGAUUGGAGCGGCCGAUGUCAGAUUAGGUAGUUGGUGGGGUAAAGGCUCACCAAGCCAACGAUCUGUAGCUGGUCUGAGAGGACGACCAGCCACACUGGGACUGAGACACGGCCCAGACUCCUACGGGAGGCAGCAGUAGGGAAUUUUGGACAAUGGGCGCAAGCCUGAUCCAGCAAUGCCGCGUGCAGGAAGAAGGCCUUCGGGUUGUAAACUGCUUUUGUACGGAACGAAACAGCUCUGGUUAAUACCCGGGGCUAAUGACGGUACCGUAAGAAUAAGCACCGGCUAACUACGUG
rnacentral:rRNA from 1 species